rnacentral:rRNA from 1 species
CACGUAGGGGGCAAGCGUUGUCCGGAUUUAUUGGGCGUAAAGAGCUCGUAGGCGGCUUGGUAAGUCAGGUGUGAAACCUCCAGGCUCAACCUGGAGACGCCACUUGAUACUGCCAUAGCUAGAGUCCGGUAGGGGAGCGUGGAAUUUCUGGUGUAGCGGUGAAAUGCGCAGAUAUCAGAAGGAACACCAGCGGCGAAGGCGGCGCUCUGGGCCGGAACUGACGCUGAGGAGCGAAAGCGUGGGUAGCAAA